UACGUAGGUGGCGAGCGUUGUCCGGAUUUACUGGGCGUAAAGAGCGCGCAGGCGGUCGUGCAAGUCGCGUGUGAAAGCCCCCGGCUCAACUGGGGAGGGUCACGCGAUACUGCUCGACUCGAAGGCAGGAGAGGGAAGUGGAAUUCCCGGUGUAGUGGUGAAAUGCGUAGAUAUCAAGAGGAACACCUGAGGUGAAGACGGGUUGCUGGGCUGACACUGACGCUGAGGCGCGAAAGCCAGGGGAGCAAACGGG
rnacentral:rRNA from 1 species